UACGAAGGGGGCUAGCGUUGCUCGGAAUCACUGGGCUUAAAGGGCGCGUAGGCGGCUUGUCAAGUCAGGGGUGAAAUCUUUCGGCUUAACCGGAAAAGUGCCUUUGAUACUGACAGGCUCGAGGGAGGUAGGGGUAUGUGGAACUUCUGGUGGAGCGGUGAAAUGCGUUGAUAUCAGAAGGAACGCCGGUGGCGAAAGCGACGUACUGGACCUCUUCUGACGCUGAGGCGCGAAAGCUAGGGGAGCAAACGGG
rnacentral:rRNA from 1 species